GGGAAGUGUGUCUCCUGUAAAUACCCUUCAGAGCCAGGCGGAGGAGGAGGAGGAGGGUAGUUAGGCUGGGGGCCGCAGCCAGGUGGAGGAGGCAUGUUGGGGUCCUGCGACAGGAAACGAGGAACGACAGACACCUCGUCGUGUGAGACGGACGCACAACAUGCACAGCUGCAAAAUGGAAAGCAACACACCACAACCUGUUAUUUUCACUUUAACGGCAAUAAAUUAUUGGGUGAAAUCUGUGAAUCUGUGAACACUACAGCUUUAAAGAUUAAAUCAAUGCAGAUAGAGGAUGUGUUGCAAUGUCAUAUCAGGCUCCUGUGUCCUUUUAUUCUUCCUGUUCGGUGUUUUUCUUCAUCAACAAUCUUCUUCUUCUUAUUAUUAUUAUAUUAUUAUUAUUGUUAUUAUUAUUAUUAUUAUUAUUAACAUCAACACCACCACCACCAACACCAAUAAUAUGUAAUAUUGCAUGUAGAAUAUUAAUAAAUACACUAGUAUAUCCAUAGAAAAGCCACAAUUGCAUUAAAAGCAACUUGGACAACA